GAUGAAGAACGCAGCGAAAUGCGAUACGUAAUGUGAAUUGCAAAUUCAGUGAAUCAUCGAGUCUUUGAACGCACAUUGCGCCCCCUGGUAUUCCGGGGGGCAUGCCUGUCCGAGCGUCAUUGCUGCCCUCAAGCACGGCUUGUGUGUUGGGCCCCGUCCUCCGAUCCUGGGGGACGGGCCCGAAAGGCAGCGGCGGCACCGCGUCCGGUCCUCGAGCGUAUGGGGCUUUGUCACCCGCUCUGUAGGCCCGGCCGGCGCUUGCCGAUCAACCCAAAUUUUUAUCCAGGUUGACCUCGGAUCAGGUAGGGAUACCCGCUGAACUUAAGCAUAUCAAUAAGCGGAGGA
rnacentral:misc_RNA from 1 species